AAAAAAUUAAAAUAAAUUACUAAAAUAGUAUAUAAUUAUUUAUUGAAACUUAAAUAAUUUGGCGGUAUUUUAGUUCAUUUAGAGGAAUCUGUCUAGUAAUUGAUAAUCCACGAAUAAUCAUAUUUAAUUUAUAAUUUUAUAUAUCGUUGUUAAAAAAAUAUUUUUAAAUAAAAAUAAUAUUUUAAAAUUUUAAUAAUAAAAUUAAUUCAGAUCAAGAUGUAGAUAAUAAUUAAAAUAUAAGAUGGAUUACAAUAUAAAUAUAUAAAUGGAUAUUAAUUUUGAAAUAGUUAAUUAAAAGUGGAUUUAAAUGUAAUUUUAAAUAAUUUUUUAAAAUGAUUAAUAAUUGAAAUAUGUACAUAUUGCCCGUCACUUUCAUUUAAAAAUUGAAAUAAGUCGUAACAAAGUAGGGGUACUGGAAAGUGUUCCUAGAAAGA
rnacentral:rRNA from 1 species